rnacentral:rRNA from 1 species
UGGGGAAUCUUCCGCAAUGGGCGAAAGCCUGACGGAGCAACGCCGCGUGAGUGAAGAAGGGUUUCGGCUCGUAAAGCUCUGUUGUCGGGGACGAACGUGAGACGUGUGAACAACGCGUUUUAAUGACGGUACCUGACGAGGAAGCCACGGCUAACUACGUGCCAGCAGCCGCGGUAAUACGUAGGUGGCGAGCGUUGUCCGGAAUUAUUGGGCGUAAAGGGAGCGCAGGUGGGAAAGUAAGUCAGUCUUAAAAGUGCGGGGCUCAACCCCGUGAGGGGAUUGAAACUACUUUUCUUGAGUGCAGGAGAGGAAAGCGGAAUUCCUAGUGUAGCGGUGAAAUGCGUAGAUAUUAGGAGGAACACCAGUGGCGAAGGCGGCUUUCUGGACUGUAACUGACACUGAGGCUCGAAAGCGUGGGGAGCGAACAGGAUUAGAUACCCUGGUAGU